rnacentral:lncRNA from 1 species
CUUGAAGAUUGUAAAGAUACUGUCAUCACUCAGAGCUGUGCAGGAAGGAAAGUUAGUGCAUGCAUUUGUCAGAGCUCAGCUGAGGUUGAAUGAAGUGAGACAGAGCAUGCCUGUAUUUUGCUGUAUGCAGCCUCCAAGUCCUGAUGUAGCCUUUAAAUACAAGCCUUGCUUUAACUUUUUGUCUAGAGUUCCUGCCUGUGCAGGAAGGGAUUGGCUGCAGCCAGCCAAUGUGCCCAGGCAAUGCUCUGGUCAUGAAAAGAGCUGAUAAUUCAUUGAAUCCAUGUCUGCUGGGAUGCCCAGGACUGGAUUUCUGCCUUGCAUCCAGCUCAGACCCUCUAACUCUGCAAGUGUUCCCAGGCUUUGGAAGAAUGAAUGACUGCUGGAGUGAGUUACAGCCCAUGAUUGUUUGUUGAUCCUGAACUGCUCCAGCUGUGUUCUCACUGUCCAGAUCCAGCUGAUCCCAUAGUCAGAGCCCACAGAUCAGGGAUUCGUGUACUCCAGCUGAUACACCUCUACCAAGCUCUCCUUCCAGCUGUGUCCUCUUCCACUGCUCCUAACAACAGCUUUGCUCAUUGGUGCCCAAGAGAAAAAGGGAACUUCAACCCAAAUGUAAGCAAACAGUAGGAAGGCCAGAAAAGGGGCCUGAGGACCAAAAACUGAGUUUUGGGGUCCAGGUUCCCCUGUAAGGAUGCAGGGGAAUAGGAGCAGCUCCAUAGGCUUCCCCCUGUCUACAGCAAUGGGUGGAAAUGCUUCAAAAGCACAUACGGACCAAACAGAAAAUUUAACAACUAGAAGAUCUCUCAAUGAGACAUAUAUACCAAGAAAACAGAUGGUUUUCAUCAGUUGUCUGCAGAGACAAAGAGCAAAUCUUCCAUGCCAACAUGGAAAAAUUUAUUAGCAAGUAUGAGCUGGGGCAAAAAAAUGAAGCCAAGAAUGUUACUAAGAAGCGUUGGAAGCAACUGAAGAGGAGGAUAAGAAAAGUAAAUAUUGAAUUCUUACACAAGGUCUUGAAGGUUGAAAAUGGUCUGAGAUUGAUGCCAGCAAUCAUCAACAGCAAGUUAAACCACUAG